AUUGAACGCUGGCGGCAGGCCUAACACAUGCAAGUCGAACGAGUGGCGGACGGGUUAGUAAUGUCUGGGAAACUUCCUGAUGGAGGGGGAUAACUACUGGAAACGGUAGCUAAUACCGCAUACCAUAGGAUGUGCCCAGAUGGGAUUAACUAGUAGGUGGGGUAAACGCUCACCUAGGGGACGAUCCCUAGCUGGUCUGCGAGGAUCCCAAGCCAAACUGGAAAAGAGACACGGUCCAGAAGCCUACGGGAGGGAGCAGUGGGGAAUAUUGCGAAAUGGGCGCAAGCCUGAUGCAGCCCUGCCGCGUGUAUGAAGAAGGCCUUCGGGUUGUAAAGUACUUUCAGCGGGGAGGCGUUGACCGCAGAAGAAGCACCGGCUAACUCCGGGCAAGCAGCCGCGGUAAUAC
rnacentral:rRNA from 1 species